ACGAAGGGGGCUAGCGUUGUUCGGAAUCACUGGGCGUAAAGCGCGCGUAGGCGGACCGUUAAGUCGGAGGUGAAAGCCUGGAGCUCAACUCCAGAACUGCCUUCGAUACUGGCGGUCUCGAGUCCGGGAGAGGUGAGUGGAACUGCUAGUGGGGGGGUGAAAGGCGUGGAUAUGAGCAAGAGCUCCAGUGGCGAAGGCGGCACACAGGCCCGGUACUGACGCUGAGGUGCGAAGGCGUGGAGAGCAAGGAU
rnacentral:rRNA from 1 species